rnacentral:rRNA from 1 species
UACGUAGGGUGCAAGCGUUAAUCGGAAUUACUGGGCGUAAAGCGUGCGCAGGCGGUUUUGUAAGUCUGUCGUGAAAUCCCCGGGCUCAACCUGGGAAUUGCGAUGGAGACUGCAAGGCUAGAAUCUGGCAGAGGGGGGGGUAGAAUUCCACGUGUAGCAGUGAAAUGCGUAGAGAUGUGGAGGAACACCGAUGGCGAAGGCAGCCCCCUGGGUCAAGAUUGACGCUCAUGCACGAAAGCGUGGGGAGCAAACAGG